UUGAAGUCCUCAAGUUAAGAUGGCUGUCAAUGGACGGCCAAAGAUGGGAGCUGAUGGAAGGAGGAUUCCCUAAACUCAGGGUCUUGACUUUGGAAUAUGUAAAAGUUGCGGAGUGGAUAGAGGCAGACCCUAACAGUGAUGGUUAUUACUUCCCGUGUCUUCAGCAAUUAAAACUGGACGGAAUUUCUAAAUUGAAAAUGAUGCCUGCUUGUUUAGGGUUUAUUCCAACUCUUGAAACAAUUCAGUUGAAGGUUUGUGGAGAUGGUGUCAAAUCUUUAGUACGGGAAAUUGAAGAAGCACAGAAAGAUUUUGGAAAUGAGAAUCUGAAGAUCAUUAUGUAAAAUAUUGAAGGGCAUCAGCUGGUGCAAUAUCUGGGAGUGCUGCGGCGGUUUUCCUCUUCAAAUUGUAAUUGAUCAUCUGCGUGGUCUGACUUUCUUUGGUGCUUUUGUGGAAGAUUAAGGUUUACGGUAAAAAUUGCAAUGGGGAUUGCAAAAGGCAUUACGUGGCUUGCUCCAUAUUCUUGGGUUUGGAUUUAGGAUA